CAGCCGCCGCGGUAAUACGAAGGGUGCAAGCGUUACUCGGAAUUACUGGGCGUAAAGCGUGCGUAGGUGGUGGUUUAAGUCCGUUGUGAAAGCCCCGGGCUCAACCUGGGAAUGGCAAUGGAUACUGGCGAGCUAGAGUGUGUCAGAGGAUGGUGGAAUUCCCGGUGUAGCGGUGAAAUGCGUAGAGAUCGGGAGGAACAUCAGUGGCGGAGGCGGCCAUCUGGGACAACACUGACGCUGAGGCACGAAAGCGUGGGGAGCAAACAGGAUUAGAUACCCCAGUAGUCCCUGUCUCUUAUAC
rnacentral:rRNA from 1 species